rnacentral:rRNA from 1 species
AUUGAACGCUGGCGGCAUGCUUUACACAUGCAAGUCGAACGGUAACAGGCCUUCGGGUUCUGACGAGUGGCGGACGGGUGCGUAAUGCAUCGGAACGUGCCCAGAGCUGGGGUAUAGCGCAGCGUAAGGUAUGCUAAUACCGCAUGUGAUCUGAGGCUGAAAGCGGGGGACCGAGCAGGAAUGUUUGGCCUCGCGCGUCUGGAGCGGCCGAUGUCGGAUUAGGUAGUUGGUGGGGUAAAGGCCUACCAAGCCGACGAUCUGUAGCUGGUCUGAGAGGACGACCAGCCACACUGGGACUGAGACACGGCCCAGACUCCUACGGGAGGCAGCAGUGGGGAAUUUUGGACAAUGGGCGCAAGCCUGAUCCAGCAAUGCCGCGUGCGGGAAGAAGGCCUUCGGGUUGUAAACCGCUUUUGUACGGAACGAAAAGGCUCUGGCUAAUACCUGGGGGUGAUGACGGUACCGUAAGAAUAAGCACCGGCUAACUACGUG